GUUGUUUUCUCGAAAAUCAAUUAAAAAGAGUUGGAUUUUGUAUUGUUAAGACCUUAUCAGCUUACUGUACUUUUUUCUUGCUCUUUUUAAUGCACUUUUCGUUUAACAAGUCAACAUCAAUUUCUUUUGUUGUAAAAGGGUCAUUGGAAGGUGGCUUUCACUUCGGUGAAAGUGUUUAUAGCCUUUGGCUUCUACAAUCGGAGAGAUUGAGGUCUGCAGCGUAGAUCCUUCGGGGUUAGAUACGUAGAUGCUAAGUUAUAGUUUUUUAUAGACAACUUGUUGACUAUGAUUAAUCAUGUAGCUUACUCGUUUGCGCUAUUUUACCUAC
rnacentral:rRNA from 1 species